rnacentral:tRNA from 1 species
GCCCGGAUGGCGGAACAGGUAGACGCGCUGGUCUCAAAAACCAGUGGGAUUUCCCGUGCCGGUUCGAUCCCGGCUCCGGGUA